rnacentral:rRNA from 1 species
UACGGAGGGUGCAAGCGUUGUCCGGAAUCACUGGGCGUAAAGGGCGCGUAGGCGGCUCAUGAAGGCCGUGGUGAAAGUCCGGGGCUCAACCUCGGAUCGGCCGUGGCGACUCGUGGGCUGGAGCACUGUAGAGGCGGGUGGAAUUCCGGGUGUAGCGGUGGAAUGCGUAGAGAUCCGGAAGAACACCAGUGGCGAAGGCGGCCCGCUGGGCAGUGGCUGACGCUGAGGCGCGAAAGCGUGGGGAGCAAACAGG